GAUGAAGAACGCAGCGAAACGCGAUAUGUAAUGUGAAUUGCAGAAUUCAGUGAAUCAUCGAAUCUUUGAACGCACAUGGCGCCUUCCAGUAUCCUGGGAGGCAUGCCUGUCCGAGCGUCGUUUCAACCCUCGAGCCCUCGUGGCCCGGCGUUGGGGAUCUGCCACGGCAGGCCCCGAAAUACAGUGGCGGACCCGUUAGGCCAUUCCUUUGCGUAGUAGCAUCAGCCUCGCAUCGGGAGCCGGCGGGCUCUCCUGCCUCUAAACCCCCCAACAAGCCCGCUCCGGCGGCACCAAGGUUGACCUCGGAUCAGGUAGGAAUACCCGCUGAACUUAAGCAUAUCAAUAAGCGGAGGA
rnacentral:misc_RNA from 1 species